CCAGACUCCUACGGGAGGCAGCAGUGGGGGAUAUUGCACAAUGGGGGAAACCCUGAUGCAGCGACGCCGCGUGAGUGAAGAAGUAUUUCGGUAUGUAAAGCUCUAUCAGCAGGGAAGAAAAUGACAGUACCUGACCAAGAAGCCCCGGCUAACUACGUGCCAGCAGCCGCGGUAAUACGUAGGGGGCAAGCGUUAUCCGGAUUUACUGGGUGUAAAGGGAGCGUAGACGGUUAUGUAAGUCUGGAGUGAAAGCCCGGGGCCCAACCCCGGGACUGCUUUGGAAACUGUGUAACUGGAGUACAGGAGGGGCAGGCGGAAUUCCUGGUGUAGCGGUGAAAUGCGUAGAUAUUAGGAGGAACACCAGUGGCGAAGGCGGCUUACUGGACUGUAACUGACGUUGAGGCUCGAAAGCGUGGGGAGCAAACAGGAUUAGAUACCCGAGUA
rnacentral:rRNA from 1 species